rnacentral:rRNA from 1 species
UUAUGGAGAGUUUGAUCCUGGCUCAGGGUGAACGCUGGCGGCGUGCCUAAGACAUGCAAGUCGUGCGAAGCUUGCUCGGAGUCUUCGGACACUGGGUAAGCUUAGCGGCGGACGGGUGCGUAACACGUAGGUGACCUACCCGGAAGACGGGGACAACCCGGGGAAACCCGGGCUAAUCCCCGAUGUGGACCCGCCCCUUGGGGCGCGUCUAAAGGGCUUCGGCCGCUUCCGGAUG